rnacentral:rRNA from 1 species
UACGUAGGGGGCUAGCGUUGUCCGGAAUCAUUGGGCGUAAAGAGCGUGUAGGCGGCCCGGUAAGGCCGCUGUGAAAGUCGGGGGCUCAACCCUCGAAUGCCGGUGGAUACUGUCGGGCUAGAGUGCGGAAGAGGCGAGUGGAAUUCCUGGUGUAGCGGUGAAAUGCGCAGAUAUCAGGAGGAACACCGAUUGCGAAGGCAGCUCGCUGGGACGUAACUGACGCUGAGGAGCGAAAGCGUGGGGAGCGAACAGG